GCAGAUGGAGCUCAGAUUCUUCGGUUAACUGUCACCCUCUCCCCUCCCCCAUCACACACACACCAGGCCCUGCCAGGACAAGGCAGCUCCUGGAAGCUCCACCAGGACCCACGUCCACCAGGCAUCUCGAACCCUCGGCCCCCAUGGACCCCCUGAGGCGCUCCCCCUCUCCCUGCCUGUCCUCGCGGCCCUCCAGCCCCAGCACACCACCCUGCGAGAUGCUUGGUCCUGUGGGCAUUGAGGCUGUGCUGGACCAGCUGAAGAUCAAGGCUAUGAAGAUGGGGUUUGAGUUCAACAUCAUGGUGGUGGGGCAAAGCGGGCUGGGCAAGUCCACGAUGGUGAACACGCUGUUCAAGUCCAAAGUGUGGAAGUCAAACCCACCGGGCUUGGGGGUGCCCACACCCCAGACGCUGCAGCUGCAUUCACUGACACAUGUCAUAGAGGAGAAAGGUGUGAAGCUGAAGCUGACGGUGACGGACACGCCCGGCUUCGGGGACCAGAUCAACAAUGACAACUGACAGUGAAGCCGAGAAUGGCAGGAGGUCUCCCUAUGUCU
rnacentral:sRNA from 1 species